rnacentral:rRNA from 1 species
UACGUAGGGGGGCAAGCGUUGUCCGGAAUCAUUGGGCGUAAAGAGCGUGUAGGCGGCCCCGAUAAGUCCCGCCCGUGAAAAGCCCCAGGGCUCAACCCUGGGAUGCCGGUGGAUACUGUCGGGCUAGAAUCCGGAAGAGGCGAGUGGAAUUCCUGGUGUAGCGGUGAAAUGCGCAGAUAUCAGGAGGAACACCGAUGGCGAAGGCAGCUCGCUGGGACGGUAUUGACGCUGAGACGCGAAAGCGUGGGAGCAAAACAGG